ACUUGUUUUCUUCUGUGUAUCUUUAUGUGUGUGUGUGUGUGUGUGUGUGUGUGUGUGUGUGUUUGUGCCUGUGGCUUGGUUAUUACCAGUCAAUUUAACCUACUGAAGAUCUACGUCCACCCAGCACUUCCUCCUUCUGCUCCUCCUCAGGCGUUCAAUUUCUCUACUGCUGUAUGUUUGUUUUUCACCUCCCAUGUCUCCGUCCUCUCCAGCUCUAAGUGUGGUAAAGCCAUCUUUUUUAAUUAUUUCUGCUCAUUGGGCACUUACUUCAGGUCUGUUGAGUGCAGUAAUGUGGCUCUGACUUGGUUAAAGUGAGAAAAUUAACAAAGAGAGAGAGAAAAAAUAAGGAGAGCGGCCGUAACUGAGCUGUCCAGCUGAAAGUUGAAGGGUCACAUAUGUUUAUCACGAGCUGAGCGGGGCCGUGCUGAUUCAGUACAGUAACCCACAUUAGAUGCAGUGGCGUGAAUGUGAUGAGACGUCUGUUUGUGUGUGUGUGCGUUUUCCUCUUAAAACAUAAUCCUUACUUUGAGAUCGAUGGGAGGGAAUUGGCAUGCCUGAGUGCACCUUUUUAAGCUAAAAGACAUAAAAUCAGAUUUUUUGCUGAAAAGAUGCCUUUAUUUAAA